rnacentral:rRNA from 1 species
UACAGGGGGGGCAAGCGUUGUUCGGAAUUACUGGGCGUAAAGGGUCUGUAGGUGGCCAACUAAGUCAGACGUGAAAUCCCUCAGCUUAACUGGGGAACUGCGUCUGAUACUGGAUGGCUCGAGUGCAGGAGAGGAACGCGGAAUUCCAGGUGUAGCGGUGAAAUGCGUAGAUAUCUGGAGGAACACCGGUGGCGAAGGCGGCUACCUGGACGGUUUCUGACGCUAAGACGCGAAAGCGUGGGGAGCAAACAGG